rnacentral:rRNA from 1 species
GAUGAACGCUAGCUACAGGCUUAACACAUGCAAGUCGAGGGGUAACAAGAGAAAAGCUUGCUUUUCUUGUUGACGACCGGCGCACGGGUGAGUAACGCGUAUCCAACCUGCCUAUAACUAGGGAAUAACCUUGCGAAAGUCAGACUAAUACCCUAUGAUUUCCUUUGAUGACAUCAGAUUAGGAAUAAAGAUUUAUCGGUUAUAAUCGGGGAUGCGUCGUAUUAGCUUGUUGGCGGGGUAACGGCCAACCAAGGCAACGAUCAGUAGGGGUUCUGAGAGGAAGGUCCCCCACAUUGGAACUGAGACACGGUCCAAACUCCUACGGGAGGCAGCAGUGAGGAAUAUUGGUCAAUGGGCGGAAGCCUGAACCAGCCAAGUAGCGUGCAGGAUGACGGCCCUAUGGGUUGUAAACUGCUUUUAUACAGGAAUAAAGUUAGCCACGUGUGGUUAUUUGUAGGUACUGUAUGAAUAAGGACCGGCUAAUUCCGUGCCAGCCGCCGCAGUAA